GCCUGAGGGACGCGAAGCUGCGCGCGGCGGGGUCGGCCUCUCCUGUCUCUGCGGCUUGCGGGCCGGCUGUCGCACCCGAAUCCCGGCACGGACCCGGGGGAAGCUCGGGCGCCGUGGCUUCUGCCCGCUUUGCAGGGGGCGUCCAGUGCUCGGGGUUUGAGACGGGGCGCUUAUGGCGCCUCUCCUGGGCUGGCACACUCUUUAAUAAUGGGCGCGGACCCUCUGCAUUUGUGGGAGGGGCCCGCUUUGAAACCGCAGCGGAGAGAGGUACAGUUGAAAAAAGGAAAAAAAACAAACAAACAUUGUCUUACUGCCAACCUACCUGAAGGCUACGGGAAGAGGAGACCGCGUGUAAUCCAGACACACUUAAGAGCAUGAUGAGCAAAGCCCCUAAAUGAUGAUUUCCCAAGACCCCAAGAAGUCUGCGCCUCGAAGUCACUCCAAAGAAUGCCUGUCUUUCUUCCUCUUGGGUUGUGCCCCUGAUACCACCACAACCAGUUGAAAGGAUCGGACAACCUGUGGUUUCCUAGAACAUCCCAGAAAAAUCAGAGCUGAGGACGACUUCCACACUUCCUGUUGUGUCUGGAAGAUAAUGACACGGCGUGGACAGUUUAAGGAAGACAGGGGCAUCUCGCUGCUUUGGUGUCUGGAAACAGAGCGUGGAGGAAAGUUGCUGAUGCCCGUGGUGCCCUCUUCUAUGCAAUUCGGGCAAAUGGCUCCAGGCAAACAGACCCACUGAGCGGUUGCCAUGGUCUGCUGAGAAAUUCGAAAAACAAAGAAAGCCUAAAAAUGUUGGCAUGUUGAAACAACUUGUAUCUUCUGCCAAAGUCAGCUUCAGCCCUCGGAACUCACACCGUUCGCACGUGGAGUCGGUAGUCCAGCAGCUUCUCAGAUCAAGGUGCUACGCUGGCAGAGGCACCCUGCAGGCUCUGACCCCUGAGUGGAUGGCCUGGAGAGCUGUGCCUCCCCUGGGUGCUGACCUCAGAAGCAGCUGAUCCUAUGGACACAGGAGAGUCGGCAGCGGCAGCUCAGCAUCAAGUCCACUGACAGCAAGAGCACCGUCUCCAGUUGGACAACUUUAAUACGAAAGUAGCUGUGAGAGGCCCCGGCGGGGCAGGGGCACCCAGAUCCUCAGGGCGCUGUUGCGUGGCAUCUUGAGAGCUCCGUUAGGCUGCCUUCUUCAGGUCAGAGUUCUACGGGCUGAAAUAAGCACUUCCGUGUUACUGCAGCAAGACUGUGGGCUUCCAGUGAGCUUGGAAACACUCAGGAGCAAGCCACACACGUACCCCACCUGCCCCAGCCGUGUGCAAGUGUGCACACCCAGCUGCGAGAGGACGCAGAGCUGCUCGGUGUGGUGGGAGGAAGACCCGCCUGGGCUGUCAGGCUUCCGAGCCUCUUGGCGGCCCUUCCACCACCACCACCGAGGGCCGGCCCUUCAGGCACUUGACAGGGUUUCAAGGAUCCACUGACCGCCGCCCAGCACUUGUCAGAGGCGUCCGGGACACCUGACAGCUAUGGGAUGGGGUCUGUCGACUCUUCCUAGAGUCUCAGAGUGCUGGUUCUGCACGAAGUGACACCGUGAGAAAGCAAUAUAUUCAAAUCGUGUUUGCACAGUUUCCUUCAGCCAGUAAUAUUAUCUAUGUGAAUUUUUAAGCUGAAUUUUUAUUCUUUUAGAAGUUAUACAGAGGUUACAGAAUCAAACGGUUGCCCGAGACCUGUGAUAAAAAGCAUGGACCUCCACCUCCAGUUUCCCAUUCCCCAGAGGCGACUAACUUUUACUCUUUGAGCUGAUUGUUUUCGUACUUACCAUGUCUAAAUGAUACGCUUUUCUGACUAGUUCCUAGUUCUCGGUUUUCAUUCCAUCUAUGGACAUUCCACAGGGGAAAAUGUGGACUUGGCUCCCCAUAGCCCCGCUCUACUCGAUGACCCUGACUGUCCUUUCUGUGCAUUUACCCCUUCUUUUUGGUGGAGUGUGUCCUUCAGUAGCUUCCUGAG
rnacentral:lncRNA from 1 species